UACGAAGGGGGCUAGCGUUGCUCGGAAUUACUGGGCGUAAAGGGCGCGUAGGCGGAUAGUUCAGUUGGGGGUGAAAGCCCGGGGCUCAACCUCGGAACUGCCUUCAAUACUGGCUAUCUUGAGUACGGGAGAGGUGUGUGGAACUCCGAGUGUAGAGGUGAAAUUCGUAGAUAUUCGGAAGAACACCAGUGGCGAAGGCGACUCACUGGACACAUAUUGACGCUGAGGUGCGAAAGCGUGGGGAGCAAACAGG
rnacentral:rRNA from 1 species